CAGAUUCCUCAGUCUGUCUUCAUAGGAGAGGUUCUCCAGCCUUCUGAUCAUCCAUAUUCACAGUCCUCCUCUGGACCUGCUCCAACAGCUCUACAUCUUUCUUGUGCUGUGGGCUCUGAGCCUGGAUGGCUCCCAAUGAGGUCCCACAAAGGGCAGAAGGGGACAAUCCCCUCACUGUCGUGCUGCCACCCCUCUUUUAUUGAAGCCCAGGAUACUGCUGGCUUUCUGGGCUGCAGCUGGAAGUGCAUAUUGCUGGCUCAUGUCACUGGUAAAACUUUGUUUUGCACCAUAAACUACCAUUACUGAAAUAUUUUCUUAAUUACAUCAAGAAGCUAUAAUUAGAUAUGAAGCCAUGACAAGUUCUCCCAGCACUGGAAGACAGUGGUCUGAUUCUGUCUGAAAGCAAGAGCAAGAAUCAAGAGAGCAGACACAAUCCUCUAAAAUCCUUUUUGGCAUCAGCUGCCAUGUCGGCUAAGUGAUAUUAGUGCCCACUCCUGCAAGCUGUUAAUAUUUCCUAGUAACAGCACCCGGCACUUUGCUAACCAUCAGCUGUAGAGCAUCCUGGCCAACCUGGAAGCAAAGACUCCAAUGUCACCGAGCCUAUGAGUGCCUGGAAUGAGAAACUGAUUUUAAUCACAGGGACCCCAAUACAUUUUCCUUCUAAAGCAUCUCAUUUUUGACAGUGCCAUAAAAAGCAUGCAAGGACACAAGGGAACAACCAUAGUUCAAGACUUACUUAUAUGGAGCUUUUUUUUUUUUAAAGGAAUAUACAGACUCAAAUUUAAUAUAUGCACAAAAUACUGUGAUAACCUGAGAAGGCAUUUUACACACCCCACAUUUCAAUAAAAUUUCAUAGCUUAAAUGUUAUUGUGACCUGUCAGUUCUGAAUGUCAUGCAGUUCCUAAAUAAUGUCUGAUUUUGUGUCCUGUUAAAGACUAAAUGAAUACACCUUUUAAGGUGAAGUAUCGAAUGACAAUGAACACAUUUGCUCACAUUAUCCCUUAUCAUUGUUUAAAACUCAUAAUUUUGGUGAGCUUUCCUGCUACUUAAUUUAUUUUCCAAAAAAGGAUCAAACAAAAGAUCAGGGUCAAGUACUGUGAGACCUCUAAAUUCACACAAGGAACGCUUGGUUCCCAACAGUUUCUAUAUCAGUACAGAAAUUUGUAUGUAGCUUGAAAGAUGUAGAUGCUGUCAUGCAUUUUAUUAGUAUUGUUUGACUGUGAUUUUUUCCAUCAGCAAAGCAGAAUUAUCGUAUUUUAUAUCAACUCGAUCAUCUUAGCUUUGUUUUUUAUAAUUACACUAACAGAGCAAUAACAGGAAUUUCUUUUACCCUUCAACACCACAAGCUAUUCAGAUGAGAACUUUGUAUUGCAUAAUACAUGAUGCCCAGCCUUACAUGCGAUAUGCUUUACGAAAAUCUUAGUCUAAUUGUGAAAGACUACUGUUACAAAACAUUCUCAUCACUGGCAUGUUUAAUUGAGCUCCUGAGAGGCAGUAUCAGUAAGACUUAGGGAUAAAUAACCACAGUCCCAUUGGUCUCACCAAGAAUCCAUUGAUGUUUCAUAAAUCCUAGUCAGUACAAAUCUAAUUGAGUUACCAUGCUGAAUUAGCUUACAUCUAAAUGGCAUUCAUGUCUACAAAUGGAAUAAUUAGAGUCUAGAAAAUGGGAUAUAUCAAGUGCUAUCCCAAGUGACAACAGCAAGACAUUUGUAUUCAUUCAAUCAACUGCUUUAAAAAAGCAGAUGUAAUACUUGAUUUGGGCUUGAUGACGAGACAGUGUUAUUGAGUCUAGCAAUGAUACUAGACAGAGAAUGUUAACUAUUUCUUCAUAUCUAUCUAUUUAUAUUUAUUCUAAGAGACUUUUCACUUUGAUUUUCAGAUUUUGCUUUAGGAUACAAAGUCAUUACAUGACUACAUAAUCCUUACUUUAUAUCUAGGGUAAUGAAAUCAGCUAUCCUCAUUAGCACUCUUCCAUUGCUAGAAUUCUAAGAUGAAUAGCAAAUAAAUCAGCAAAUAACAGGGUUUGCAAUAGAGCUUUCAAAGCUACUAAUAUUUUUAGCCUUUCAGGCAGAAUAGAGUGAACAGGACUGCUCAUUUUGUCAGCUUGCUUAACCACUGUCUUCUAUGUGCUAAAUGAAAUAAGGUACCAUUGCACUCCUGCUAGAAUCCAGUGUCACCCUGCCUGUGGCAUCCUGCCCCACAGACUGACAGCCACCAGAUGCCACUACCUGGCUGGCUGGGGUUUAGUUGAAUACCAGCUGCUUUUUUCAGAAUGAAUGUGAAACAUCACUAUCUCAAACCGUAUACAAAACCAGUAUUAAAUUAGAAUGAACGUUUUCAAUGCUGGAUGACAGAUUUCUUUAAUUCAGAAAGUAGUCUAAUUUGCAUGCAUAUUUUAUUUAUUACACCAAUUAAGUUUUGCAAAUAGUUUGCAAUGAGGUCCCUAUGACCUAAUAAUUCACAAUUACUCCAGGGAUAUCCUGCUCACUUUAGCACGUAUUGAAUAAUACUGCUUUCUCCUCAAGAAAAGUAAUACAUUUUUACAUGAUGGAUUUAUUAAGAGUGUGCACAUCUCUUCCUUAACCAAUUUUACUCUAGAUAGGGUGUUACAGGAGCUACUUCACAAGGCCUUUGUUGUGUUGGUUAACAAAUGUUUUUCCUCAGCUCCCUGUCUUUCCAGAUACUUGGUUUCUAAGAUCUAGUGGCAAUCCCAGGAACAUACAGCCUAGAUGAGCACUCUGGGUGGUAGCACAAUAUAAAUGAAUAAUAACCAUUUAAAGCUGCCAGGAUGAUAUGUUUCUGCCCUAACAGUAAAGAAUGGAGCGCGGUUGAAAAUGGACAUGGUGAAACAAACAUUUCAGGCAAACCUACUCAAGUCUGCCAAACUUGCUGCUGAUUUACUCUACAGAAUUUAACCUUCAGAGAGCCACGACGGAAAAAGUGCAAUUUGAGAGUCACUGGGAUACAUUCAAAUAAUAACUUAUAUUAAUAUAUUUCAUAAGAAUAAACCACCAUAUAGUUUGCUCUGCUUUCUUCAGCUCUAUAAAGAAUUUUAAAUGAUCUUAAGAGUGUGGAGAAGAGCUUCACUUUGGUACGCUGUUCAAACAAAACUGGCACUCCCUCGUAUUUCACGUUGUCGUUUCCUCCCUCAAAGCAGUCAGCUAAAAAUGAACUGCAUUUUUAAACUAUGUCUUACUUCCACUACGAACAACAAGCAGAAUUCUCUGUUUAUAUGAAAGAAAAUUCCUCUCUUGUGAAGACAGGGAAGACAUUUGCUAGAAAUAAUAAGGAAAAUACUGGGAAAAAAAAUAAUAAUCAAUCUUCAUACAUUUUGCACAACUUUCACACAUAGACUUUAAUUACCUGUCUAUCUUUUUGGAAAAGGUGAUUCAUACUGGGAAUAGAAACCAGCUCAAGAUGAGUGCCCUGCAGAAGCUGAUUUGCUGCUUAUGCUACCAACACGUGCAGGUACAUGGCAUCCCAUCAGAGAGGUGCUUUGGCAGGCAGCUCCUGCCCGCCCGUCCGAGCCCCACUGCCCAGCACAGCACAGCCCGAGGGCAGGAGGACCUCCCGCUGCCCAUCACCGGGCUGCACACCGUGCCCCAGUGAGUGCUGACAGGCACCCCCUGGGUUUGAUGCACUCUGCCAUUUCCUCACACUACGAGCACGAUCCUUCCUCACAGCUAAGAGCUGCAAAAUACUCAGGAAUACCUCUCAUUUUGGAAAAAGAGCUUAAAACUAGAAGCGUUUACAGUAUUCCUAGGUACAGUAUGAAAUAGUUAUAAACCACAUCAUACUCCAGUUCUGUUUUAAUACUGUGCAAUUUAUUAACCCUUUUGCAAGGAGACACACUUUUAGGAAGUCUAUAGCAUUGGUCAUCGUUAGCACACGUUUGUACACCACUGUUAAGUGGGGAUGCUCAGGACCCAUACUGCAGGGAGCAGCUCACACUAAUAGCAAAAUGAGGUGGCCACAGACCACUUUCUGUUCUACAUCCUGGUGAUGGCAUUGCAUUUCCAAGCAGGAGCAUGAAACAACAGUUCACAAAAUAAAACACGCUCUGUUAUAGUGACAGCUAAGUGGCGUGCAGGGAAACCAAACCAAGCUCACAGUGAAAGGCGGCUAAUGCAGACAAAGACAUUAGCGUGGAAAAUGCUGUAGUAACCAUAUGAAAUAAACUUUUAUGAUAGUGGGGAUAGGUCUAGUCAGACUACAUUUCCCACCAUGCAACGUGCAGGAACCUGAUUGACAGUUUCAGUAACAUUUUCCUGACAAGACAGAAUUGUGACUCGGGCUGCAAGAAAAAAAUGCUGUGUGAAAUUGCUUGGCGUUAUUUAAAAGGACACCGACUAAAUGAUUGUUUAUCAGUAUACAAAAUACUGAGCGGAAUUUUCCCACAGGAGUAGCAGCCUGAAUAGUAUUAACAGUGCUUUAAACUGUAAUGAAUUCCCAGUCUAAUUCACUAUGAGGUUUCAAUUUAUACCACAUUUAGAGUACUCCAGGUUCAAGUAAUCACUGCAGUAAUUAGCUUACUUCCAGUCCUCCAAAAUAAACCCACUAAUUUUUGCAAUCAGCCUUCAUUUGGUUAAUCACCAGUUUAAUUGAUUUAAUUAGUUUGAUCUGCAAAAUUAGUCAAGUGUAAAUACUGUUUUGUAAACAGAGUUUAGCUCCAAGCUGUAACAUAGGGAAUUCUAAUUCAAAGCUGGAGUUAAUAAUAAAACCAACACACAUGAUUUUGUUGCAGUAUCCAGCAGUUCUAAGUCUGCAAGACACAAAUUUACACUUUCAGAGAUAAUGCUAUUUUAUAUUAGUGACAGAACUAAGGACAUUGCCUCUCAGUUUUAUUCUUGACUAAUGAUUUUUCUACUAGGAAAACUAACACAAGAACAGCGGUUUUGCCUUCUCUAGGUUAACAGCAGAUAUUUUCCUACAUGAUUUUGCUUUCGUUUCAAAAACUAACAGAUACGUAUUAAAGAGUAAUAAUGAAAGGAAAAAAAUAUAUAUAUAAGGAGACUUCGGUUACACCUAAAAACCACUGGUUUACAAGGCAUAAGAUCAGAAGAAAGCCAAGCUACAAAUCUUGGCAGUAACGUGCAGAGCAGGGGGGUUGUCUAAACAGAAUGGGUGCCCUGAAAUUACAAGGUGAAGAAAAUUUGGAAUAGCAUUAAAGUCAAAAGGGAUAGUCUUGCACAGAUUGUUUCCGUCUUCAUCAGUUAUUGAUGCUAAUCAAUACAAAUGUACGUGUGAUACUCUGAAAACUGCUGGAUAUCUCAUGACAAGUACUCAAAUUCACCAUGUAUGCAUUAAACUCUUAAAAGUAAUCCCAGCAGGUACACAGCACAUGUUCAGAACAAAGAAACGACUUCCUGGCAGGCAAACAGAUAAAUACCUAUAAUGCCAGAAAAACGGGCAAACUGAAACCAACCUUCCAUUGAAUAGCAUUCAGAGAAAGGAAAUUACUAGGACUUACCAUAAAAAUAAGAAAGACAGCAAGAGUUUACAUGAUAAUAAGAAAAAGAGAGGAAAAAAAAGAAAAAUAAUUGUCCAAAACUGCAUGAAAAAUCUCUUUCCAGGGAAUGCAUUUUAGUAAAAGGACAAGCCUAGGAUGCGGAUGAGGCAUCUGUUCCUGGACCACAUCAUUUAGAUUUUCUGCACCUCAAACUGUAGAUGUAAACAGCUCUUAUUCCUAUCUCACACAGAGAUUGCAUCAAUUCCUUAACAUGAAUGUGAGGAUGAACCCACCACUUUUCUACUGAAAAAAUAAGAUUCCACUGACAAAAUAUCAGAAAGUUCUCAGAUUCUUUUUCACCCCACAAAAAUAAUAGAUUUUGUAUUAUUUUAAAUGUAAUUUGUCUUCUAUUUUAGUCUAAGAAAUUUUCCCUUUUUUAAAUAGUUCUGUCUCCUACCUCUUUCUCUUGUCCCUGAACACAGAAGCACAACCUUCUACUCCUUCCCUUUCCAUUUUUCUUCCUUUUUCUCCUGCUUUUCCCCAUCCUUUUUUUGUCCAGCUGCAACCAUGUAAAACUAUUUCACAUUGUUGUUAUUUGGCUGUCAUACUCAAACACUCCAACAUUUUCUUCAUUGUAUGACAAUCUAUUUCCUGAUAACUACAUUUUCCUCACUGCAAAGGUAUUAAAAUUUCAGAGAAUGAGGAAAAGGAGAAAAAAAUGAAAGAUUUGAAUAUCAAUUCUUUGGUUCUACUGGAAAAGAUUUGAGAAAAAGAGGUAUUCGGAAAACUAUUUCAACAAGCACAAAUCAAGUUUCAGCUCCUCAGUGAAAGAGAAAUUCAAACCAGAAUCAUUUCCAACUUCCUAUGAAAUACUGUUUGAGGUGUUUCAUGGAGAAGGGGUUUUCAUUGGGUGGUUGGUUGCAGCAUGUUUUUUUUUGUUGUUGUUUUUUGUUUGUUUGUUUCUUAUGAUGCUGUUAUUGCCCACUUGGAAAACAAACCAAAAGCAACUCAUCUGAACAAGGCUGGUCAGGUAGGACGUGCCUUUGAUGAAGCCACGCUGGUUAUCCUACAUCACCUCCCUCCCUUCCAUAUGCAUUAGCCUCCAGGAAGAUCUUCUUCAUGAUAUCUCCUGGCACUGAGAUGAGGUUGAAAGGCCAGAAGUUCCCAAGUCAUCCUUUCUACCUUUUUUAAAAAUAGGUGCUAUACUGCUUUUCCAGUCACCAGGGACUUCAUCCGACUGCCAUGAUUUUUCACAUAUCAAGACUGACUUGGCAACUACAUCAGACAAUUCCCUCAGGACUCUGGAUACAUCCCAUUGGGACCCAUAGAAUUAUGGGUGUUCAGGUUCCUCAAGCACUCAUGAACCUGAUCUUCGCUUACAAUGAGAGGGGCAUUACUCCCCUGGUUCCCACUUUCCAAGCCAUCUACUCAAGAUCAUGUGUAGAGCAGUUGCUAGGUAAGACUGAGGCAAAAAGUUGUUGUUGAAUACCUCAGUCUUCUCCCGCGUCCAUUGUUACCAGCCUGCCUGUGCUACUUACUAGGGAGGGUACACCCUCCUGGACUUUCCUCUUCCAGUUGAUGUACACAUAGAAACCUUUCUUAUUCUUCUUCACACCCUUUUCCAAGUCCAGUUCCAGUCAGGCCUUAGCCUUCCUGACUCCAUCCCUACACAGCCUAGCAGCAUCUCUAUACUACCCCCAGGUUACCUGUUUCUACUUCCACUGCCCAUGCAUUUUCUUCUUGCUUACCAGUUUGACCAGCAGAUCCCAGUUCAGCCACACUGGUCUCCUGUCUUCUUUUCCUAACAUCCUACACCCGCAGAUGGAGGGAUCUUGCACCCUAAGGAAAGCAUCCUUAAAGAUCUGCCAGCUCUGCUCCGCUCCCUUAUCGUUGAGGACAGAUUCCCAGGGCGUUUUGUUGACUAACUCCCUGAAGAGCUGGGAUUUCCUAAAAUUAAGCUUCCUGAUUUUACUCUUUGCCUGUCUGAUAUCCCUCAAGAGUGUGAACUCCACCACUCCAUGGUCAGUGCAGCCUAGGCAGCCUCCAAUCCUGAUGUCACCAAUUAGUUCACUCACACUGGUGAGCAGCAAGUCCAGCAUUGUACCCUCCCUGGUGUGCUGUCUGCUGCCUGGCUUAGGAAGUUAUUCUUGAUAUAUUCCAGGAACCUCCUGGAUCACCUGCAUCGCACCAUGCUACUUUUCCAGCAGGUAUCAGGGUGGUUGAAAUCCCCCAGCUGAAGAGAGUCUGGGAUUGAAACACCUCCUAUAGCUGGAGGAAGACUUCAUCAAUAGGCUCUCCUUCAUCAGGCAGCCUGUAGUAGGCACCAACCACAAGAUUCCCUUUGCUGCCUCAGUCUCUCACUCACAGGCUUUCGACUUGCUCAUGGCCAUUCCUCUUCACACUCUAUUCCUUCCUUGAUGUAGAGGGCAAUGCCUCUACAACCUUCCAAACAGGUUGUAGCUAUCAAUAGCCACAUUCCAGUUGUGGGAAUCAUCUUACCAGGUCUCAGUGGUGACAACUACAUCAUGGUUUUCCAGUGGCACAGUGGUUUCCAACUCUUCCUGUUUGUUUCCCAAGCUGCAUAUGUUGGCAUAAAGGCAGUUCAGCUGGGCAGCUGGUCUUGUCAGCUUCUUUGAGGAUAAUGCCUUAAUUCCUUUGAAGUAUUUACCUGUAAUCUCCGUUACCUUCAAGGAUAUUCUCCUUAAGUAGUCCCACAAGCUUUUGUCCUGAUUUGCAUUGAUCUGUUCUUUGUCAGUUCAAAGUAUCAAUCAAAAUGUCUAAAUUAAGGCAAACACUCUGCAGAAUAUUUAUGCACACGAUCAAAACUAUAGCUGUGGUACAAAGCUAAGAGAGGUUCUUCAGUGCUCUGUUACUCCAUGGCUGGUCUACACAGGAGCAGCACAGCCCACCCGUGCCCCUCCAGCUGAGCAAAUAGAGUCUCUCAUUUUCCCUGCAGGACUUGAACAUGAAUAAAUGACAUUUGCUGCCUAAAAAUAAAACCUCUAGCCACGGAGCACUAGAAGAGCAGUGCACUGUGGAACAGAUUACAGUAUUUUGGCACUAGUUUCCACUCGUUCUCCUUUAACAAUGCAACAAACUGCACAUUGGUUACUCAUUACACUGCACAGGAGAGAGCAGGAUACCUUGUACAUGGGCACUAAACUGUGGCUAGAUUUUCCUUCACUACAUGCUGUGUCUGAGCCGAGGAACAAGCACAUAUACUUGAGAGCAAUAGUUGGGGCAUAUUCUUGGCAUGCUUCCACUGUCAAUGAAAUAUGUCCUUUUUACAGAUGUUUCCUUAUGCUACUGGGAACAAAUCGCUCAUCCACAUACACAAAGACCUACCCAUAUAGACAUAAGGUACUAUGAAGCAAAAAUUUAUGUUUAUUUAGCAAGGCGAAAAUGAGCUUAAAUUCAGUUCAGAGAGUACUAAACAUGUACAUCUUAAUGCAAUGAACAGACCCCAUUUUUUAUUAAACACGAGUCAAAGAUUACAAAAGCAUGUCACAUCACACGGGCAGCCUCAGAGAUACAGAAGACAAGCAAACUAGAUGCAAAGCGUAAUUUAAACUCAUUAGCUUUGUUGGUAAAUGUGAGCAACAUAUUAACCAGCUUUCCUGGUUAAUACACUGCAGUUUGUGUUUUUGUAUUGUACUGCUUUGAAAUAGAACUGUGUCACUGAGUGACCUGCAGUGCUGCGCACGCACAAUGCCUGAUCUGGAGGAAGUGUUACUAGAACACAGUGUAUCAUGAAUAUUUUUAACAAAUUCAAACUAGUGGAACAAUUUUAGCUUUGAUUAAGCAGUGAGUACCAUGAAGAAGCCAAGUUCUUGCUUGCCAUUAGAAGCCCUAGAAGCAUUUAUGUAUCACUGAACUGUGGGCCAGGAAAACCAUGUACACACCUGUUACAUUUUAACUGUUUGCAUACCUUAAGCAAUUCAUAUAUUAAAUAGGAAGAUCUGUUAGCUUUGCUCUCACAGGAACAAGAAAACAAGGGUCUAAACUAUGUCCAUUAUAUUUACUCAUGUGCAUCCAAGUCAUGUUUUGUGAGAGACCAAUGGAUAAUUUGUUUUGAUUUAUAAGAUCUCUUAGACAACCAAGAAUAAUGCUGAAACAACAAAUGGAUAAUGACCACACUUGCUAUGUUUGAUUUAAUGCCUUUGUCUAGGAUUAAGCUGUAUGUAUUUGUUUCUUUUGACCAUAUAUAAGAAAAGUUCAAUCAAAAAGAAUAUUCCUGCAAAGUGUUUAGACCACAUCAUUUCCUGUUUUGAAGGAGCAAACAAACCUCAAGAGAAGCUUCAAAGCUCAUCUAACUCCUACCACAUUAGCUUACGUGACAUCUCUAUUCACAAAUGCUCUGAGAGCUACUUAAGAUCCAUCCAUAAACACAAUAAUAUUUUAAGAAAAUGCAUUUGAACAGGAAUAACAGAGCUAAACUUAGUAAAAGUAAGUAAUUACUUUUAAAGUUACAGCAAAUAUUUCUUUCUCCCUUGAUACUGGUUGCUCCCCCCAUGCAGCACAUGGCUUGCAAUCAGAGGAAACAAGAACAAAUUACAGAAAACAUACAGCAUUGUAUGCCACACAUGCAAUAGAAUAAAAGCAUAAAGUCACUUACCUUAUAAGCGUUCGGUCAGUCCUUGGGAUUCCUGGCAGCAUCGCCAGAAUUUAAGUCACUUCAGGCACAACAUGAUCAUAUAAAACUGCAUAACGACAACUGAAAAACAUAAUACUACCGCAGGCUUACUCUCAGGUGCAUACACUGCUCUCAGUCACAUUAAAUCCAAAAUGAAGUUAUGCACUCUGCCUCUGACCAGAGCCUCUCAACUUCUCACAUCAGGAAGCCUCUCCUUAGAGACCAGGACUACACCAACACAAACACCUCCUCACAGAGUCAAGCUUCCCUCCAAGCCUUGUUUAUUUUGCUCCUAAACCACAUGUGCCCCAUUGGUCAGAUGGAGGCCUUCCCCAGGGAAGCCAACAAACCACGCUUACCACACAUUGACUCCAGAGCACACAGACUCACAGCUGCCACACAAACUGAGGCACUCUCCCAUCAGCUGCAGCCUGCAGAGGUGACUGCACAUUAAGAUGAUCUCCCUUUUUUCCCCCUUAUCACCAUCAUUAAAUAGAAGGGAAUUCCAAGUCUUUCCACCAGCCAAGCAGGUGGCUCCAAGGCCAAAUAAAUAAAUAAAUAAAUGUGAAUAAAUAAAGGGUGUGAAUGAGAAGAAGGAUACUGAAAAAAGAACAACUGCUUUGUUGUCAGAAAAAUAAACCUGCUAGGCCCCAGAAUGCUUUGGAAUGACUGCUAAUUAAGGCCACCUUACUCUUCUGAGUGCCUCAGAGGUCACACCUGUGCAGUGCCAUUGCAGGUGCUGACAGUUACUCACAGGUGCGGUCUGCAGCCCUCUCUGUGGGCAUUCUCUUGAGCACCCUGAGCAUCAAAUGCCACUCCUUGUUUUUUAAAUACUAAGGGCACAGCAGAGAUUAGCAAAGAACUUUUCCUUAGCAUGUAAAUACAUUUUUAACGAGUGUGUAUCACCUGACUUUGUAAGAUCACUGGAAUUCCUACGGCACUCAUACUUAACUGUCCUGAUUUAUUCCUUACAUGCCAUGUUUCACUGAUCCAUUUCUGUGGAUAAGAGACUGUUAAUGUGCUGUACAGUGCAUGGCUCUACUGUGUAACAAAACAGCCAAAUUAACAAAGAAACGAUUCUGACAAUGCUGUAUGAGCCUUUGUGUUACAGACUUCAGCAAAAACAUUGAUUUUAAUGAUGAAUUUAUUCCCGAGUGUUUCCCCUCAGGUUGGUUUUCUGUUUAUUGUGGGAUUUUUUUUGGCAAUAUCUCAUGAUUAUCACAACAUUCAACUGGAGAUUGUUAUGCUGAGACCAAUAAGCCGCCAAGAGCAAAUAUUGGUAUUUUAAGAUAACUGAUGGAAUCAAGACUGAGAGUUGCAAAAGUAAGUUGUUCACACAGGGGUUUACGCAACUGUAUCUGCAUAUAGUGAGUGUUACCUGUGGAAGGAAACUCUGCCAGAAUAAAUCUAUGAAAAGCAGUGAGAAUAUUCUACUGAGGUUGAAGAAGUAGGGUUUCAUAAACUCCUGCACUUUAUUUCCCUAUUUCCCUUGAGUUCCCUUGCCUCUCUUCUGAGAAUACCGAAAACUGACCACUGAAAGUGACUGAUGAUCAAAAGGAAGCUGAAGUGCAUACAGCAUUACCCAAGUUUUCUAACUGUUCAGAACUGAGAGAUUAAUCCACAGGAAAAAAAAACUGUAAGAAACUCCAUCAUCAUUUAUGUAUUGAAAGUCACCAGUUUGACUCUUCUCAGUGCACAGCGGUGACUGCCAUCAGGUGCCAUAGCUUUGUGAUGGCCUGUGCGCACUUGAGCACUUGAAACCUGAGUCCUACUUUCAAAAGUGACUUAGGUCUCUGGAAUCCUGAGCUGCGUGACUUUGAAUGAGGCUGCAGGUGUGGACCUGACAGACAAACAGACUGCCAAUAGUUCAUCCUUCCAAAUAAGCACCAGAGUGGAAUUUGAGGAAAGCAGUUGGGAUGCUAACUCCUAGUGAAACCAAAGGCACCAGGCACCCAAGUGCACUAAAAAUCUUUCUGGAAGCAUAUGAACAUUUUAAGGCGCUGCCAUGCCACUAAAAAACUAGACCAAAAACAUCAGAUGCAGACUACAUAAGCCUGUUUCAGGAGAGACAAUCUGGUCUUCCACAUAACACAGUGAGCAUGUAUUCACACAGACACGUACAAGCACAGUACGUUGGUUACACAUGAAAGAAGCUGUAAGAGCUUUCAUGGAUCCUGGCCCUCCCCAUCAAUCCUUCCCUGCCCUGCAGCGGAGUCCCAGGGUAACCUGGCAGAUGCCGUCACUCACUUCCAACAGCUGCAGCUUUCGACCACCUAUGAGCCCUGCUGUGGAGUGUGUGGUCAGCCCAGAAAUGAGAAAUACCAUUAAACUGAUCACAGAUCACUGUGAUCAUGCCCCAUUUGCACACACAGCAGUAAAACAUUCAUCAUUCCUUGGCUUAGUGACUACUGCAUUUUUGCUGCUGCUUAACCUGCAGGAGCCUUCCUGACCACAGAAGUCUUCAUAGUCUCUGGAACAGCCCAUUCUGGGCUCCAGCUCCUUAAUCCCCCUAGUGAAGCAGCUAUCUCAAAUGAGCGUGUUUUACAAAAACUGGUGUUCAUUUAGGUACCACAACUGCUCCGAAUGCUAAACUCCAGUCAACCUUUAUAAUGCCUUUUCUUCCUUUCUUCUUUUUUUCCCCCUAGCAACAUUAUGCAUCCUUGUAUAGCUACUGUGAAUAUUCAAAUACUGUAAUUGGAGAUGAUUUACUUUGUUUUGAAUUAACUAAAAUUCCUUUGUUAAGCACAAAUACUGCUUCACUAAAUCAUCAAGCUUUUAAUAGGUCCACAUGAGCAGGUUACCGAGCGUGUUAGGAUUUAUAAUGCUCCUGGGGAGCUGACCACUGUAUUAUGCUUCCUGCUGCUAGGUAAUAUGCAUGACACAUUUCUGGACACUAAUUCAUUUAUUUAAUAGUAACAGUAUGCAAAAACAGAGUUCAAAAUGAGGCUGACAAAGAAGGUAUAAAAGUUUUAUUAAUCCAUAGCUAAUCAAAGGCCAGUGGAAGGCAUAUAAUGGUGGCAUUUACAGACCAUAUCGAAUGUGAAUAAAUUAAAUUUUUGUUUCCUAAAAUCUUACUAAUAGGAUGCAUUCGACUUGAAACAUUUAUACUUUUAAUUACAGCAGCAGCCAAUUUACAGCAGGUACAUGGUUGUACUGUACUUAAAAACUUUGCAUCAAGGAUCUUUACAAAUCCUCUCAUCAGCUAUUUUUUGAUUCUGAUUUGUUACUGUGUGCACUGUGUCCACGCUCAGAAAUAAUAACAUUAUUUACUUUCUCAUUUAAUUAUGCAGUGACAGAUUACUCGUAGGGGAAAAGGGCACUGAGGGAAAGUAGUCUUUUUCUGUCAGAGAAAUUCCCCCUCAAAGGCUUGGCAUCAUGUCCAUGCAAUAUAACUUUAUGGCUCCAUCUUUCAGCUGCCUAUAUAUAGGAGUAAAUCAGUAGACCAACUCAUAUGAAAACACUCAUUUCUCCAGGCAAAAGUUUUCACUUGUCCUCUCAUUUCUAGCAAGUUAUCAAUCACUCAAUUUACAUGGGAAGUUUCGUUUGAACAUCAUCUAAUGGUUAGUCACUAAUAAGCAUAACAAUAGCUGACCAGAGUAAAAACAUGAAGAUAGAGGAAACAAGUAAUUUGAUGUGCGUUUUGAAGUACUCCUAAAACUUUGGCUUUUACUUCCACCCUGACCAUCCAAAAAGAAUCCAGAGAGGUGCUACUCUCACUUAGAAAGGACUAAAAAAAAAAUGUAUUUUUUCUUAAAUCACAAUGCUUCCACAUAAGAUCUUUUACACACCAGGACAAAUUUUACCAAUACAGUCAGCAGCAAUUUGCUUCCUGCAUCUUGCCACCCCCACCUGGAGCUAGGAAAAGAUUUCAUCUUGCUCUGAACACAAAAUUAUCUCAUUUUCUCUACUUGGGAAACAAAUACUCAUGUGAUGCUUGUAGCUGCAUUCAACUGACUAGUUCUUAUCCAGCAAAGACCUCGAGCGUUUCCAAAACAAUCAAACAAUUCUGCAGAAACCAAGGAGGCUACUUGAUGCUUAAGUGCUCUCCUGAAUCAUAGGUAGACUUGGAGUUUUCAGCCCACAGCAACCCUAUUGCAGAGCCAGAAACUGAACUCAGAGUCUUUAGUCAUCAUCUCUACACAUGAAAUGUGCCUCUCCUUUAAGACUUCAAGCUUUCCAGAUCUUGUCUCCUAGGAGCAGAAAGUGCAUUUGGCUACUGCAGCAGAAUAAGCACAACAUACAGAGCAUGAUGGGUAAGCUAGAGCUUAGCACAGCAUUCAGAUUUCCGUGGGUUUCUCAUGGCUUGCAGUUCAGGCAGAAGAGCAUGAAUGUGCAGAACAUGGUCUAUAAUACCAUUCUAUAGACCAGCUAAAAAGGACACACCUAAGGGAUGGAUGGAUGAUCAGCCCACCUAAGGCCAGAAUCACAAAGCUGUCUGAAUGCCUGACUCCCUGUUGUUCUCCUUCAGUACAUUUGUCAGUCUGUGUCCUGUUUUUUUCCUCCAGUCAAAUCACAUUCAUUUGAUAUUGCGUCCAUCCACAAAUUUCUUCCUUUGCUCUACUUCACAGCUUCUAUUUGCUACCAGGUUUUGACUGUUUAAGAGGCCUCUCUCAUUGUGAGUAAUUUCAUCACAUUUCAAUAACAAAUAAAAUUAUGUAAUGGCUAUGAACACCAACAAGGUGCAAUAAAGAACUGAAACUGAGAAGACACCGAACUCACGUGGCUAAACUUCCUGCAAGCUUUGCUCAGCUCCAAACGAGUGAGAGAACAAGUAGAUUCACACAUAACCACCAUCCAGCUCAGGUUCAGGUUACACAGAGUUGCUUUAAGAUGGUUGUUUAUAUCAGCUACAUUAGCUCUUCUUCAGUAUCAGCAUCAGCUGAAAAAAGACUGACCUAUUAGACACACAUGUUCUUCAUCUCUAGAUGACAGACACAUUCACAUGUACUCCUCCCCACUCAUGUCUUCCCUCAGUAGGAGAGGGAGCUGCUGGGUAGGAACACAGCACACAUCCAAAAGAGAGAACACAGAAUUGAGAAAUGUAAGUGAAGUUUGAAGCAGACUCUAGGCUUGUCCGUUUCUAUUCUUAAGCCUCUGGUUCAUAGACCCCCAAACAUGAGAUGCUGUAGUCCAGAUGUAAUCUUUUACUGACUUUUUCUGUAAUAUGUUUGUCCCAAGGUGAGGAAGGAAUGACUGCUCUGUGUGUGAUGAUGGCUGACUUUAACCUGCAGAAGUGUGUUUUAGAAGCAUAUUCUAGAUGCUGGGUUAAUGUGAAACAUGCAAAUCACUUGAGCUUUGCUCUCAUGAUUUACACUGCUCUAGAAAUCUUGAACGCAAACAGUCUUACAUCAGCAUCAAAAACUGCACCCAAUGGAAAUUCUACAUGUUGGUAUGGACCACGCAAGCUCUGCACGACCAAGGGUGUUUACUCAGGAAAACGCUGAUUUGUUUUUACACAUGUGCAUAUAAUGUCCUGUACCAAAACCAGAGACAGUCCAUCCAUGUUGCAUGCACCUACUGAAACUAACUGGCUGCAUCACCUUCUUUCUCUGCUGCCUGUGAACCGGACAGUUAAAGGCUGGGGAUAAACUCUUGUGAAGUUCUGAAGAAGCCUGAAGGAUUGUAAGGCGAGUCCUCUGGAGUGACAGUUCUUAAGGAAAGGCUUCAGCCCUACAUCAGUUUAAUGCAGUUGAAAGACUGAGGGUAAUUGAGCAUGUUAGUGUUCUUAGCCUGCGGUGACAGUGAGGUAAGCUCUGUCACAGAAGUAUAAAUUACAAUUUAAGCAAACUAGUUUUACUUUACAUUAGAAACAGGCAAAAAGUGUAAAAAACUAGUUACCUCAGCUCAACAGAGAACAGCUGUUUGUGGAACUGUGGUAACUCAGCUGGGGUUUAUGUCCCAAAGCAGUAAACCCACAUAUGUCAUGGAGGAAAGGGGAGGAGGAGUGCAGAGGAUGCUCACUGUUUGCUGUUGUGUGAUAGUGGAUGAGAGCUCUUAACUCUCCCACACUUCAGCUUCUGUUUCAAGACACAGUAACAACAAGGAUAAGUUUGUCUGCUGAGCCUCCUCUCCCAAAGCAAAAUCUAAAAUAGUCAGCUCUAAAGAAUUUUGUUUUAGACUAUUACUCCUCAUGUAUUUAUCUCCUGCAGAAAGUAAGAACCACCAACAGUUAGAAUGCAGGAGACGUGCUAAGUUAGGGUAUACCCUACAUUUAUGCUGCUGAUACUCCAAGAUAACUUGUUUAGUGACUUUUUCAUAGGGACAGGCAUAAUCUUUCUGGAUAAAAUCAGAUUAAACUUUUUUAGUCCGCUUCAGAGGGACCGUCAUUCUUUGAAAUGGGACACAUUCCUCAUCUGCAUACCAAAGCUGAACAUGAGUCUGAGUCUAGCUUUCUUGAAAGAAAUUGCCAAUUAGAAGACUUAAUUUGACUUCAGUGUCUAUUACGGAUAGCUUUGUAAAAAUCUUUACUUUUCUCCUGGCUGAGGGGUAUGUGUGCUCCUCAGUGAAGCCGUCCUUGUUUUUAUUUUGUUCUUUAAACUUAAUAAUCAUUACUUGCAGCACCAAAAAGAGCAGAACUCUGCUGACCAAGUAAUCAGACAUAUAUUAAGGUAAAUACUUCAGGCUAAAGGCCAAAACAUUUGGAUUUUAGUGUCCAUAACAAUAGAGAUAAUGUAAAACUGGAAAAAAAAAACUGUGAGUUUAGUGUUCACAUCACAAAUGCAGUCGACUCUCAUUCCAAGCAGCUUGGCUAUGUGUGACAAACAGCAAUCGCUGCAGGCUGUGCUGGGAAAACCGAGGCAGUAUUCACAAUGGAUUUGUUCAACGUUUAUGUGCAACAGCAGUGCAUGUUUGAGAGAUCAAGUUAUCACUGCCUUAAAUCCCCAAUCAUGUUAACAUACACUCCAUAAACCAACUGGACAAGCAGACAACAUGGAAAGCCUAAAGGUUAAGUACACAUUAUUGACCUCAAGGAAGCUGUGUUCUACAGAUCAUUAAAUAUGUUGUGCGCUUCUGUUUCAGCUGGUCACGCUGAAAAGUGCCCUGGGAACAUUAAAUAAUGCUUAGAUGUUCUACCUACAUUCAUGUGACACAAAAUCAAUACCUUUCCCCUAACCUUACUUGCUUAGAUUAUUCUCAGCUAUCAGCUGCUUUUAAACCAUAAUGAGAAGAAUCAUUUGCAUGCAUGUGUAGGUGUCCACUCAUACAUUUUCAUGACACAUCAACAUACGGAAUUCAUCUUUAUGUACACUCUGUCUACACUGGGGUACAGACUGCUUAACAUAUGAAGCAGUACACACGUUGGGACAAGGUGUUUUGUUUUGUUUUUGUUUGUUUGUUUUUACUUUUUUGUUUUCUUGUUUAUCGUGCGGUGGCACUGAUGCAUUUUAGCAUCAGUGGGCAUCCCCUACAAUGAGGGCCUCCAAGCAGGAGCAGCACACCUCCUGGCCUGGCUGUGCUCCCUGCCCUGUGCUAUGGUGGCACUGGGUUCUGUGCUAACACAUACACACACCAUCCCUGCUUACUAUAGGUGGGAAGCAAGACUCAGAAUGAGAAGGCUGUGAAGUUCUGCUGGCCCCACUGUUGGUGACACCUCUGCCUAACUCCUAAUGGAUGCACUGAGCCCCCAGACCACAGAUCUCUCAUGGGAGAAGGUGAAGAGCAGCCCUCCCUCAAUGUUGCUCUUACAGGGCUUCUCAGAUCCCUUGUCCCACAACCUGCAACCCAAGGCUGGGAUUUACAUCGUGUCACCUGCUGAAUCCUUGGGGAGAACAGCUCAUCUCAAACAAUCUCAUCAAAACAGGAAAUUUUAAACAUAUCAAAUGGGAACAAAAGAACACUUCUGAGGAUCGUACACCCUUGGGAUACUCACAUACUGGCGGUCCAAAACUGCUCUGUGAACAGUGUUUAAAAGUGUUUUGGGACAUUUUUGGCAGUAGCAUUAUUUUUCUUUUGAGAAUGACUUUCUGACAAUGCUUUUGCUCAAUUCUCCACUUUUCAGUAACAAACCUUUUCUUAGAGAAGUCAAAUUUUUUUAUCAUACUUAAUGUACAUAACAGAUUUAGAAAUAACCAACCAGAGGAAAUGCACACAUACCUUUGAAGUACUGACAUUCUGUAAGCCCAAAUUCCCAAGCACUAAAAGAUGUACAUGCUAGAAGGUUGGGUUUGCCCACUAAAAUCUGAACAUUUCUGGUAUUGCAUCUAAUCCAAUAAUCACACUUGUACAGUGUCGCUCUUACACUGUACAGAAUGUACAGAACAAGUCCAGGUAAAUGAGGAACAGCAGUGAUCUUGGCUUUACUGAUCAGCUAACACCAACCAGUGGCCUAGGAAGCCCAAGAAUGCCAGGAUAAGCUUAGCACUAACACAGCAUUUACUACACUUAAAUGUCCAGUGACCAAACAAAGUAUUUCAAAUCUAAUUCUACUCCUGUGAGACUAAUUGUGCUUUCCUUGAGAUGCAUUAUUUUGAUGUCUUCUGUGUCUCUAAAUAGGGAUAUUUUCAUUGAUAUUUAAAAAAAAUACACUGAAGCUACUUAAUCCUCAAAUCCCUUCAGUUUCUCACUGUAAGAAUAUCACAAGGAAAAUUAAGAACACUGAUUUGAUAACAAAAACAGGGACACAUUGAAAUUAGGGUGGAAACUACUGUGUCAUUUCACUGCUCUGGAGAUUAACAUACAAAAUCAAAAGCUCCAGAUGCAACUAACAGUGCGAAUGGAAUCGCUUGAAUUCACACCCUUUCAGAUACGUACAGCUGCUUUUGGUCUCCUUGUGGGCACAGAGGGAUGAGAAGUCAAAGCAAAGCACACCUGAACAGUAUCCAGCGAAUGAGAUUUCUGGCUGUUGAAACCCUCUGUGAGCUUGUAAGCCCUGAUUACCAGUUCCGCUUCUCAAAUGAAAAGCUCUAAGUGCUAUUUAUUUAUGGAUUCCUCUGAAUGCCAGCAAAGCUAUGUCUUACUUUGAGUCCUGACUUGCAUUAACUCUCACUUGUUUGUAGAUAUUCUUCUGUUCACUGUCACACCAGAUCUUUGCACAAUAGGUGGACCCUAAACAACAGUAUUUUCAACCAUAUGAACGUAUUUCAAAGUAUAGACCUCACCUUAGAUCUCGAGGGAGGAUCAAGGUGACUGACAAAUACGCACUUAAAGCAUCUGUCAGUUCCAAUGACCCAAGUUUGAACUGGAGCAAAGCUGUUGUUGUAGCACUCAAGUGAAGGUGUUAAAAAGAUCAUUGUCUAUGUAACAGUUUCUCUUAAGGAAACUGUAUAUAACAUAGCAACUUCCAGGCUGAUCCAUGAAAGUCAAGCACCAUUACUGCUGCACCAUACUCUGCCAAUCAGUAUUGACUGCACAAUGAUAGACCAUUCCAUACGUCAGCUCAAAAGACUGCACUCCAAAUGAGAUAAAAGUGCAUUACUUUCUCACUUACUAAGUUGCACUGCACAGCUGCAGUGGGCCUAUUCUAGGUAGCCAGAAUAAUUUAAAUUUCCAGAAGAAAACGAAAAUGAUUUCUUUUGCCUACUGAGAGAUUCUCGAUUUUUGUUACAGUGUUAGAAGAUACAGUGCUACCAGAUACACCAUUCCAGAUCCUGCUUUGUUCCAAAGAACUUGAUCAUUACAUAUAUUUCACAACAAAUAAACCAGUAUGUCUGUAUCUGUUGGUGUCUAAUAAAUUCAGAAUGUCUGUG